CCUACGGGAGGCAGCAGUAGGGAAUUUUCGUCAAUGGGCGCAAGCCUGAACGAGCAAUGCCGCGUGAACGAGGAAGGUCUUCGGAUCGUAAAGCUCUGUUGAAGGGGAAAAAGAGCGGAGAGAGGAAAUGCUUUCUGAUUGAUAUUACCCUUCGAGGAAGUCACGGCUAACUACGUGCCAGCAGCCGCGGUAAUGCGUAGGUGGCGAGCGUUAUCCGGAAUGAUUGGGCGUAAAGGGUGCGUAGGCGGCCUGCUAAGUCUGGAGUGAAAGGUACCGGCUCAACCGGUACAGGCUCUGGAAACUGGCGGGCUAGGGAGCAGGAGAGGGCAGUGGGACUCCAUGUGGAGCGGUAAAAUGCGUAGAUAUAUGGAAGAACACCAGUGGCGAAGGCGGCCGCCUGGCCUGUUAACUGACGCUGAGGCACGAAAGCGUGGGGAGCAAAUAGGAUUAGAUACCCGAGUAGUC
rnacentral:rRNA from 1 species